rnacentral:rRNA from 1 species
CAGCAGCCGCGGGAAUACGUAGGUCCCGAGCGUUGUCCGGAUUUAUUGGGCGUAAAGCGAGCGCAGGCGGUUAGAUAAGUCUGAAGUUAAAGGCUGUGGCUUAACCAUAGUACGCUUUGGAAACUGUUUAACUUGAGUGCAAGAGGGGAGAGUGGAAUUCCAUGUGUAGCGGUGAAAUGCGUAGAUAUAUGGAGGUACACCGGUGGCGAAAGCGGCCCUCUGGCUUGUAACUGACGCUGAGGCUCGAAAGCGUGGGGAGCGAACAGGAUUAGAGACCCCUGUAGUCCCUGUCUCUUAUACA